rnacentral:rRNA from 1 species
UUGCGAGCUUCGGGGUGAGUAAGCGGCGGACGGGUGAGUAACGCGUAGGAAUCUACCCAGUAGUGGGGGACGACUUGGGGAAACUCAAGCUAAUACCGCAUACGCCCUACGGGGGAAAGCGGGGGACCUUCGGGCCUCGUGCUAUUGGAUGAGCCUGCGUCGGAUUAGCUAGUUGGUGGGGUAAAAGCCUACCAAGGCGACGAUCCGUAGCUGGUCUGAGAGGAUGAUCAGCCACACUGGAACUGAGACACGGUCCAGACUCCUACGGGAGGCAGCAGUGGGGAAUAUUGCGCAAUGGGGGCAACCCUGACGCAGCCAUGCCGCGUGUGUGAAGAAGGCCCUAGGGUUGUAAAGCACUUUCAAUUGGGAAGAAAAGCUUGUCCUUAAUACGGGCAAGCCCUGACAUUACCUUUAGAAGAAGCACCGGCUAACUCCGUGCCAGCAGCCGCGGUAAUACGGAGGGUGCGAGCGUUAAUCGGAAUUACUGGGCGUAAAGCGCGCGUAGGCGGUUCGUUAAGUCGGAUGUGAAAGCCCCGGGCUCAACCUGGGAACUGCAUUCGAUACUGGCGAGCUAGAGUACGAGAGAGGGAGGUAGAAUUCCACGUGUAGCGGUGAAAUGCGUAGAUAUGUGGAGGAAUACCAGUGGCGAA